rnacentral:rRNA from 1 species
AUUGAACGCUGGCGGCAUGCUUUACACAUGCAAGUCGAACGGCAGCGGGGGCUUCGGUCCGCCGGCGAGUGGCGAACGGGUGAGUAAUGCAUCGGAACGUGCCCAGUCGUGGGGGAUAACACAUCGAAAGAUGUGCUAAUACCGCAUACGUCCUGAGGGAGAAAGCGGGGGAUCUUCGGACCUCGCGCGAUUGGAGCGGCCGAUGUCGGAUUAGCUAGUUGGUGGGGUAAAGGCCCACCAAGGCGACGAUCCGUAGCGGGUCUGAGAGGAUGAUCCGCCACACUGGGACUGAGACACGGCCCAGACUCCUACGGGAGGCAGCAGUGGGGAAUUUUGGACAAUGGGGGCAACCCUGAUCCAGCCAUGCCGCGUGAGUGAAGAAGGCCUCGGUGUAAGACUCUUCGUACGGAAGAAAUACGCCGCCUCUAACACAGCGGUGGAGUGACGGUA